GACGAACCGUGCGAACGUUGUUCGGAAUCACUGGGCUUAAAGGGCGCGUAGGCGGGCACGCAAGUCAGGGGUGAAAUCCCCCAGCUUAACUGGGGAACGGCUUUUGAUACUGCGUGUCUUGAGGGGGGUAGGGGCAUGUGGAACUUCCGGUGGAGCGGUGAAAUGCGUAGAUAUCGGAAGGAACGCCGGUGGCGAAAGCGGCGUGCUGGACCCCUUCUGACGCUGAGGCGCGAAAGCCAGGGGAGCAAACGGG
rnacentral:rRNA from 1 species